rnacentral:misc_RNA from 1 species
GCAUGUCUGCAACUUUUGCCAUCCAUUCGCUGGUUUCAACUCUACUAGCUUUCACCUAUAUUCCCAAUAAUUAGCUGUGAUCUGUUCAAAGAUGGGGUGACUUUGUUUGUUUAACUAAGAUCCUCUCAUUUUUUGCAUAAUUCAGUCUUAAUUACUCCUUUGUACGUGGGAUACCAUAACAUCUUCAACUUUUUUGAAGGAAGAAG